UUGCAGUGGUUACUUAAACAAUGGAACUACUGUUGGAACCCACCCAUGAACAGAAGAACUACCAUGACACCUAUGACACCACUUUCACCAAAGACAGACACUGCUCCUCCUUUGACCCCUGCCCCACCAGUCCCUCCUACCACCGAGAGACGGGGAGAUUCAUGAUUCUUGUGGAACUUUGUAGCCAGACGCAGCUUCUUCCUUCAGGUGUUGAUACCACAGCUGAAGAUCAAAGAUAUUAUGUCACUGCAUGUACCCUUUUCAAUAUCCUGAAUAAAAUGACAAUGCUUUAUU